rfam:Glossina fuscipes fuscipes unplaced genomic scaffold Scaffold499, whole genome shotgun sequence.
GAUAAGCGUGUAAGACAGAUUGAGAAGCUCUUUCUCGAAUUAAUGGAUGGCGGUGCAUGGCCUGAUUCGUGGACCGACUUGUCUGGUUAAUUGCGAUAAUAAACGAGACUCAAAUAUGCUUUCACGAUUACGGUGUUGGAGCUUUUAUAGCUUUCAUUUGCGGGCACAGUGGAAUGUGCUACGCGUAGCAAUAAUAAAAUUGACCAAUAACAGAUCCGUGAUGAACUUAG